CCCUAGUUACCACCUGAGCUGGAAAUAACAAGAACUGUACCAGAGGAAAGGAUUGGGCCUAGACUAAGAAGAAGUCUAGUCUGUGAAAUAAGCUUAUUGGAACAUCUCUGAGGAUAGAGCUGCCUACACAUGAUGUUGCCUUGGGGUGGGCCAUCUGCAGGGACUGAACUCAAGGCCGCUGGAUCUAGAACAAGCCUCUACUGCUUCAGCCAAGGAUCAAGUCUUUUGAUGUGAGAAUGUGGACCAGAGCAUUCGGCUGUUCAUAAAUUUGUAACAGCACCUUCCUCCAGGCAAAUAUUAAAUAUCUUCGCCUACUGUGUUAGAGAUCUCUUUCCAUUUUUUAUCUAACGUAAAAAAUGAAUAAAGAGACCGGUAAGGCUGGUGAGAAGAGGAAGAGGACUGCAGGAGUAGACAAAGAUCCGUCCACGUCGAAACAAAAACAACGGGAGAGCAUUCCUGCCAGAGUAAAACCCAGAGAUUAUAAUAAUAAGGAGAAUUAUAUAAAAGAGUGUUACUUGUUCUGUUUGCUUUUGUAUCUUAUUUUAUAAUCAUAUGUUUACAUUUUAUUUUUUCAAAGUAACUUUGAUGUACAGUAUAC